GCAGCUUGCUGCUUUGCUGACGAGUGGCGGACGGGUGAGUAAUGUCUGGGAAACUGCCUGAUGGAGGGGGAUAACUACUGGAAACGGUAGCUAAUACCGCAUAACGUCGCAAGACCAAAGAGGGGGACCUUCGGGCCUCUUGCCAUCGGAUGUGCCCAGAUGGGAUUAGCUAGUAGGUGGGGUAACGGCUCACCUAGGCGACGAUCCCUAGCUGGUCUGAGAGGAUGACCAGCCACACUGGAACUGAGACACGGUCCAGACUCCUACGGGAGGCAGCAGUGGGGAAUAUUGCACAAUGGGCGCAAGCCUGAUGCAGCCAUGCCGCGUGUAUGAAGAAGGCCUUCGGGUUG
rnacentral:rRNA from 1 species